AGAUCAUCUACACCUCUGAGCUACUUAGAAUUGGUCCUCAGACCGUUACGGCUAGCACUACAACUGGCACUCAACUUAUCUCUCUUAUUGCAUCUAGACCCAACUAUCCCAACUCUUAUUUCUAUACUUCUUCUAUUUAUUGAUAUUCUAUGACUUGUCUCUGUUGACUUACUACCCUUAUCCUUUUCUCUGCUUCGAGUAUACUCUUGUCUUGGGUAGUAAGAAGAUAAGAAAGAACUCAAAGAUAGUAGCCA
rnacentral:misc_RNA from 1 species